GCUUACGGCCACACCACCCCGAGGACGCCCGAUCUCGUCUGAUCUCGGAAGCUAAGCAGGGUCGGGCCUGGUUAGUACUUAGAUGGGAGACUGCCUAGGAAUACCAGGUGCUGUA
rnacentral:rRNA from 1 species